rnacentral:tRNA from 1 species
AGGGGAGUAGCUCAGAUGGUAGAGUGCACGCUUAGCAUGCGAGAGGUACGGGGAUCGAUGCCCCACGCCUCCA